AGUCGCCCUCUCGAUGCAGAUAGAGGAGUUCGGACUACAACUCCCAGCAUGCCACGCCCCAGGAACUGCCCCUGUACGCCGAGAAAACAAACUCGCAAGGACGUUUUGGGAAAUCACAAAGCAGAGGCUGUGUUAUGAGAUGGGGAGCUCCCCUCACUAACCACUAACCAGCAGAAGCCGGACAGAAGAAAUUCCAGUAAUGGAGGAAAUCCAGUGGUGGGGACAAAGCAAAGAGAAAACGUGGACCUUCUGCUCAAGACUAGCUCAUUCCCACACAGAAAACUCCAGAGGCAAGCAGAGAUCCCUGGAAAUUGUGGAUCACAGUCUCAGAAUGAAGUGACCAAAAUGUUUUAUCAGUUCUGCCUCAGAUUUGAUUAUUACAGCACUGCAAAUAAAAACCUUGUUCUCA